rnacentral:lncRNA from 1 species
AAAUGCACCAUAUAUUAAAUUAUACAAUACAAUGUGUCAAUUACACCUUAAUAAUAUUAUUAGUUUAUAGAGAAAUUGAAAUAUUUUAUGAAUAGUGUAUACUCGCCUAACUGCAAUUAGAAAUUUAACAUUCCCUUAAAACCACUAGUUACUUUUCAUCUUUACACAAUUACACUUAAAAUUCCACUGAGAGAAACUUUUGAGGUGCUCGCAAUGUAUAUAUCAUUAUCCAUUGAAUUCUUACUGCAUAUAUCUUACCUUUCAAUCAAUCACAUAAUAAUCAAUGUACAUAUUGUAAGAAUUCAAUAAGGUAGCAUUUAUUUUUUGAAUUGGAGUGUGAAUACUAAGGAGUGAGAAUUUUAGGAUUAGGAGUAUGGAGUGGGAGUGAGAGUGAGAGUAGGUUGUUUACUUACAUUGAAAUAGAAGUAUGAAAUGGAAAUCAAAAUUCAAUUUAUGUGUUUACAAUUUUAUCAUUAUUUAAAGAAUUGUAGUUUUUAAUUACAAAAUAAUAAAAAAUAUAUU